rnacentral:rRNA from 3 species
AUGAUUUUAAAUAAUUAAAUGGCUGCGGUAUAAUUGACUGUACAAAGGUAGCAUAAUCAAUUGUUUUUUAAUUAAAAACUGGAAUGAAAGAGUUAAUGAGAUAUACACUGUCUCAUAUAUAUUAAAUUAAUUUAAAUUUUUAGUUAAAAUGCUAAAAUUAGUUUAUGGGACGAUAAGACCCUAUAGAAUUUUAUAUUAAUAUUUUAAUUAUAAUUUUAUUAUUGAAUAUUAAUAUUUUGUUGGGAGGAUAGGUAAAUUUAUUAAACUUUAUUUUAAAUAUUAACUUUAAUUAAAGAAUAUAUUUUGAUCUUUUAGUAAAAAUGAAAAGAGUAAAUUACCUUAGGGAUAACAGCGUAAUAUCUUUUUAAAGAUCUUAUUGAAAAAGAUGAUUGCGACCUCGAUGUUGAAUUAAGAUAAAUUUUAAAUGAAGAAAUUUAAUAAUUAAGUCUGUU